UGACCACUCAAAAGCUGCUUUCAGGGCAGCCUGGCUCCCUGGGGAGACUCCCAAGCCCCCCUCAGAGAAGGUGGAGAUUCUGGAUGCAAAGACAAGGGAGAAGCUGUGUUUCUUGGACAAGGUGGAGCCCCAUGCCACCAUUGCGGAGAUCAAGAACCUCUUCACUAAGACCCAUCCGCAGUGGUACCCCGCCCGCCAGUCCCUCCGCCUGGACCCCAGUGAGUACAGCUGUCCACUCGGCCCGCCCCCUGGGCUCCUGGGUGGCAGUGGGAGAAGGCCCGGGUAGCCCCUGAGCCCUGGCCCGCCUCUCUGCAGAGGGCAAGUCCCUGAAGGAUGAGGAUGUUCUGCAGAAGCUGCCCGUGGGCACCACGGCCACACUGUACUUCCGGGACCUGGGGGCCCAGAUCAGCUGGGUGACGGUGAGUCCUGACCCUACCCACAGCCUCUUUUCCCGUCAGCCACAUUGGGUGACUCAUCUUGCCCCCCUCUACUUUCAGGUCUUCCUAACAGAGUACGCGGGGCCCCUUUUCAUCUACCUGCUCUUCUACUUCCGAGUGCCCUUCAUCUAUGGCCACAAAUAUGACUUUACGUCCAGUCGGCAUACAGUGGUGCACCUCGCCUGCAUCUGUCACUCAUUCCACUACAUCAAGCGCCUGCUGGAGACGCUCUUCGUGCACCGCUUCUCCCAUGGCACUAUGCCUUUGCGCAACAUCUUCAAGAACUGCACCUACUACUGGGGCUUCGCCGCGUGGAUGGCCUAUUACAUCAAUCACCCUCUCUACACUCCCCCUAGUAAGUGGCCUCAGACCAUCCUUCCCUCCUCCACGGUCCCCACCCAGCGGGUCCUCCUCUCAUGGGCUCCCCUCCCUGCUUUCUCUUCAGCCUACGGAGCUCAGCAGGUGAAACUGGCGCUCGCCAUCUUUGUGGUAAGGAGGCUGGGUGUGGGGACGGGGUCAGGGGAGUCUGGGCGGCCC
rnacentral:sRNA from 1 species